rnacentral:rRNA from 1 species
CUGGCGGCGUGCCUAAUACAUGCAAGUAGAACGCUGAAGACUUUAGCUUGCUAGAGUUGGAAGAGUUGCGAACGGGUGAGUAACGCGUAGGUAACCUGCCUAUUAGUGGGGGAUAACUAUUGGAAACGAUAGCUAAUACCGCAUAAUAGUGUUUAACACAUGUUAGAGACUUAAAAGAUGCAAUUGCAUCACUAGUAGAUGGACCUGCGUUGUAUUAGCUAGUUGGUGGGGUAACGGCCUACCAAGGCGACGAUACAUAGCCGACCUGAGAGGGUGAUCGGCCACACUGGGACUGAGACACGGCCCAGACUCCUACGGGAGGCAGCAGUAGGGAAUCUUCGGCAAUGGGGGCAACCCUGACCGAGCAACGCCGCGUGAGUGAAGAAGGUUUUCGGAUCGUAAAGCUCUGUUGUAAGAGAAGAACGUGUGUGAGAGUGGAAAGUUCACACAGUGACGGUAACUUACCAGAAAGGGACGGCUAACUACGUGCCAGCAGCCGCGGUAAUACGUAGGUCCCGAGCGUUGUCCGGAUUUAUUGGGCGUAAAGCGAGCGCAGGCGGUUUAAUAAGUCUGAAGUUAAAGGCAGUGGCUUAACCAUUGUUCGCUUUGG